UACAGAGGUCUCAAGCGUUGUUCGGAUUCAUUGGGCGUAAAGGGUGCGUAGGCGGCGCGGUAAGUCGGGUGUGAAAUCUCCCGGCUUAACUGGGAGGGUGCGCCGAAAACUGCGUGGCUAGAGUGUGGGAGAGGAAAGCGGAAUUCCUGGUGUAGCGGUGAAAUGCGUAGAUAUCAGGAGGAACACCGGCGGUGUAGACGGCUUUCUGGACCAUUACUGACGCUGAGAUACGAAAGCGUGGGUAGCAAACAGG
rnacentral:rRNA from 1 species